CACGUGUGUGUGUUCAGGGACCGGACCAGAGGAGACCCGACGUGGGGAGGGAGGGAGGCCCUGGCCUUCUUUUGCCCGACCAGGGGUGGCUGGCAGAUACCACCCGAGAGAUUAAGAGCUGUUCUCUGGAGUUCCAAUCCCACCUUUACCGUUUAAUAGCUGUGUGACUUUAGGAGCUGGAGCUGGUGGAGGAUGUGUGGCGAGGGGAGGCGCAGGACCUCCUCUCCCAGAUCGCCCAGCUGCAGGAGGAGAACAAGCAGCUCAUGACCAACCUCUCCCACAAGGAUGUCAAUUUCUCAGAGGAGGAGUUCCAGAAGCAUGAAGGUAAGUGGGGGUCGGCGCCAAUGCAAGGGGGCCGGCCAUUCCUUUUCUUAUUGCCCACAUCAGCGAUUGUCGCCACCACCCCUGGACGCUGAUGCGGUGCUGGCUGAUUCCCAAAGCCCUUUGCCUUCUGUAUUGUGUUGAUUUGCACCAUAACCCUGCCAGAGAAACAUCACGUAGCCUCAGUUUACAGAUGGUAACACAGAGGUCCUUUCAGCAAACUGUCACAGGUUCCCCUCUGUUUGUCAGGCUCCUCUCUUGGCCCUGGGAUAUGUGUUAAACGUGACAGAGACCCUGCCCUUGGGAAGCUUGUGUGCUGUGCAGAGGAGAAAGGGGCUUAACAUGUAAACACACAGACACCAUAGUUCCAGGGGGCGGCCGUGCUCUGGGAGAGCGGCAGUGGGGCAUGUGAUAGAGUGACUUGGUAGGGACAUCUUUGGAUACAGUCAUCAGGGAAGGCCUUCGAGGAGGUCACAUUUGAACCCUAAUGAAGUAACAGAGUGAGCCACGCAAAUAUCUGCAUUUGUUGGGUCGGGGGUUGCAGGGGCAGUCAUGCAAAGGCCCUGGGACAUGAGCAUUUGGGGGAAACCAAGAAGGCCGGUGUAGGCCGCGCGCAGUGGCUCACACCUGUGAUCCCAGCACUUUGGGAGGCUGAAGCAGGAAGAUCACUUGGAGCCAGGAGUUUGAGACCAGCCUGGGCAACAUAGACCCCGUCUCUACUAACGAUUUUUUUAAAAAUAAGCCAGGUGCAGUGGUGCACACCUGUAGUCUGAGCUACUUGAAGGCUGAGGCGGGAGGAUCACUUGAGCCCAGGAGGUCGAGGCCACAGUGAGCUGAGAUCAUACCACUGCGCUACAGCCUGAGCGACAGUAAGAUGAAAAAAAUAAAGAAGGCUAGUGUGUCAGAAGAUGAUUGAGGCCUCAGGAGGCUGGAAAUGAGGUCACAGGGGUCAGUUCAUGUAGCUCCUUAGAGGCUGAGGUUUGGAUUUUAUUCUAAGUGUGCUGGGAAGAGAUUGGAGGCUCUUAUCACAGGCAAACGCUUACCAGUGAGCAGCCCGGGAUGGCAUCCCAGACCUGAAUGGCACUGGAGCCCCUGAACUGUCACUUAUCCAAUAAGCACUUGUUUAGAACCUUCAUGCAGGGCCUCUGCUGGUGCUGGGAAAAGGACAAAUGGGCCGCAAGAUUCGGGCCAGGCGGGGCUGUGGGCGGCAUCUGCUCUGCUCAGCCCUGCAGCUUCCUGCCCGCUAAAGCAGGGGUGCCUCCUGCAGCUCACCCCAAGGAAAGCUCAGAGUCAAUACUUCUGAGAAACUCCUUAGCUCCCCACAUGAGCCUCUUCCUCAUGUUUGAUGGAACGGGGACGGACCUGGGGUGGGUGCCCAACUUCAGAAUGUGUGGUGACCUCUCUGCAGAAUCAAGUAUGGCACUAAAGGCCAGGCACAGUGGCUCACGCCUGUAAUCCCAGCACUUUGGGAGGCCAAGGCAGGUGGAUCAUUUGAGGUCAGGAGUUUGAGGCCUGGCCAACGUGAUGAAACCCCGUCUCUACGAAAAAUACAAAAAUUAACUAGGCCUGGAGGCGGGCGCCUGUAGAGUCCCAGCUACUCAGGAGGCUGAGGCAGGAGAUUCGCUUGAACCCAGGAGAUGGAGGUUGC
rnacentral:lncRNA from 1 species